rnacentral:rRNA from 1 species
AGCAGCCGCGGUAAUUCCAGCUCCAAUAGCGUAUACUAAAGUCGUUGCAGUUAAAAAGCUCGUAGUUGAAUUUCGGGGUUAGUAGAUUGGUCAUGCCUCUGGUAUGUACUGGUCUCACUGAUUCCUCCUUCCUGAUGAACCUUAAUGCCAUUAAUUUGGUGUUUUGGGGAAUUUGGACUGUUACUUUGAAAAAAUUAGAGUGUUUAAAGCAAGCUAACGCUUGAAUACAUUAGCAUGGAAUAAUGAAAUAGGACGUUCGAUCCUAUUUUGUUGGUUUCUAGGAUUGACGUAAUGAUUAAUAGGGAUAGUUGGGGGCAUUAGUAUUCAAUUGUCAGAGGUGAAAUUCUUGGAUUUAUUGAAGACUAACUACUGCGAAAGCAUUUGCCAAGGAUGUUUUCAUUAAUCAAGAACGAAAGUUAGGGGAUCGAAGACGAUCAGAUACCGUCGUAGUCUUAACCAUAAACUAUGCCGACUAGGGAUCGGAUGAUGUUAAUUUUUUAAUGACUCA